UACGGAGGGGCAAGCGGUUGUUCGGAAUUACUGGGCGUAAAGGGCGCGUAGGCGCUCUGCAAGUCGGGUGUGAAAGCCCUCAGCUCAACUGAGGAGUGCGCCCGAAACUGCAGAGCUUGAGUGCCGGAGAGGGUGGCGGAAUUCCCCAAGUAGAGGUGAAAGUUCGUAGAUAUGGGGAGGAACACCGGUGGCGAAGGCGGCUCACUGGCCCGAUACUGACGCUGAGGCACGAAAGCGUGGGGAUCAAACAGG
rnacentral:rRNA from 1 species